rnacentral:rRNA from 1 species
AUUGAACGCUGGCGGCAGGCCUAACACAUGGAAGUCGAGCGCGAAAGUUCUUCGGAAUGAGUAAAGCGGCGGACGGGUGAGUAAUACAUGGGAAUCUGCCUGGUAGUGGGGGACAACGUUUCGAAAGGAACGCUAAUACCGCAUACGCCCUACGGGGGAAAGGGGGGGAUCUUCGGACCUCUCGCUAUCAGAUGAGCCCA